rnacentral:rRNA from 1 species
CCUACGGGCGGCUGCAGUCGAGAAUCAUUCACAAUGGGGGAAACCCUGAUGGUGCGACGCCGCGUGAGCGAUGAAGUAUUUCGGUAUGUAAAGCUCUAUCAGCAGGGAAGAAAAUGACGGUACCUGACUAAGAAGCCCCGGCUAACUACGUGCCAGCAGCCGCGGUCAUACGUAGGGGGCAAGCGUUAUCCGGAUUUACUGGGUGUAAAGGGAGCGUAGACGGCUGUGCAAGGCAGAUGGGAAAGCCCGGGGCUCAACCCCGCGACUGCAUUUGGAACUGUGUGGCCGGAGUGUCGGAGAGGGAGGCGGAAUUUCUAGGGGAGCGGUGAAAUGCGUAGAUAUUAGGAGGAAAACCAGUGGCGAAGGCGGCGUGCUGGACGAUGACUGACGUUGAGGCUAGAAAGCGUGGGGAGCAAACAGGAUUAGAUAACCCUAGUAGUC